GCCUACGGGGGGCUGCAGUGGGGAAUUUUGGACAAUGGGGGCAACCCUGAUCCAGCCAUGCCGCGUGAGUGAAGAAGGCCUUCGGGUUGUAAAGCUCUUUCGGCGGGGAAGAAAUGGCAACGGCUAAUAUCCGUUGUUGAUGACGGUACCCGCAUAAGAAGCACCGGCUAACUACGUGCCAGAAGCCGCGGUAAUACGUAGGGUGCGAGCGUUAAUCGGAAUUACUGGGCGUAAAGCGUGCGCAGGCGGUUUCGUAAGACAGACGUGAAAUCCCCGGGCUCAACCUGGGAACUGCGUUUGUGACUGCGAGGCUAGAGUACGGCAGAGGGGGGUAGAAUUCCACGUGUAGCAGUGAAAUGCGUAGAGAUGUGGAGGAAUACCGAUGGCGAAGGCAGCCCCCUGGGUUAGUACUGACGCUCAUGCACGAAAGCGUGGGGAGCAAACAGGAUUAGAUACCCCAGUAGUCCCC
rnacentral:rRNA from 1 species